ACCCAAAAACUUAGAAUAGUUCUAGGUCUCUCACCUGAGAGGAGAACGGUCUCCUCUUUUGUUCACAUCAAGGAAGAAGGAAACCCACCCAAACCUCACAUCCCAAAGAAGAAUUUUCGACCCUCUUUCUCUCUGGUAUCUCACGAUGAAAAGCUUUCCACUUUGGCACACAAAAUUUGUAGCCUUCUUAUGAUUGUCGUAC
rnacentral:lncRNA from 1 species